rnacentral:lncRNA from 1 species
GUGUGAAGAUUCCCCCUUCACUCACCAGAUCAUCUCCAUGGCAACAGCUUGCAGCCUGCUCUUGGAGUGCUUUGUUUUGGCAGCUUCUCUGCUAGUUUGUGUAUGGAGUGAAUGGAGGAGGUAAAUCCACAGAUUAAGAAUAUGCUGUCAGGAGUCAGGCAGCCAAGGUCAGAAGCCAGCUCUGCUUCUCAGUGGCUCUGACAGCCAGGCCAGUGAUGAUGAGGUCCAUCUUCCUGCCACACCGAAAGCUCAUCUGCAGUCGGAGAGGCCAUCUAGACCCCAGAGGUUGGGAAGAAGAUGAGAAAAUCUUGGUACCUGAUGCCAUUCCCACUCUUCCUCCUUAUGUAUUCAUCAGGACGGACCAGGCUUGUGUUAAGGUGUACCCGGGAUUUGUUUUAAUCAGGAAUGGCAAGACUCACAGGCACAGAGGUGAUUGUCAUGAGGAAGAAGUCUGUGCUCACAGAACCCUAGAAACAGGAGGCAUGGCAUGCCACGUAGGGCCACAUGGGGAAGGACCAUCUCUCUGGGGCUUUUGGGGAAGUUGGAAACAGGUGCUCUUUUUCCUUCCCGUUGAUCAUUAAACAUUGAGUCCCUCGUCUCUAGGGAGGGGACUUCUUAUUUACCCCUGGGUUGGGAAAUAAAUCAUGACAGCAGCAAUCAGACAACAGCAGAGAAGUGUGUGAUCUGAACAUCUGUGGGAUGCCGUGAUCCCUGGAGGAGCCCUUCACACUGAUCCCAUGAAUGGCCCUCAACACAUGCACGAGCAAGGAGCAAGCGUUCCGACAAGUGCUCUCGCAGUACUCCAAGGAAGAGGCUGAAAUUUGACUCAGCAAAGCCCAGAGGGAAAAGGGAAAGUGGUUUAUGAGUGUCCUCAGGAGCUAUCACAUCCUAGACACUAGGCACUUUCAUCUAAAUGACUCUGAUGACCCCAGUGUUGUCAGUGCUCCUCAGUCAGUGGAUCAGACUUGCCCUUGGCAUGAGGAGGAUAGUCAGUCACUCCUGGUCCCCUUCAGAGGGACCUUUUGAGAAAAAAAUAUAGCCAAUUACUUAUGUAACCCCAGGCACUCUGUCCUGAAUCCUGGGCAUUCCACCACCGUGGAGAAAUAGGUUAGUCCCAGACACAUGACACCAGCCUAUGAGGCAGCUCCGGGACUCAGCUGCUCGAACGAGCGUCGCAAUUUCAAGUUGGGAAUUAACGGCAACACCUGACAACACAACACAAUGCAGUAGCCAUCAAGCAGGAAGCCCGAGCACUCCACUCUCAGCUGUACCUUGCCAAGCAGUGGCUGCUGUCUGUCGGGAGCAGGUAGCAAGUCAAGAUCAGUCUAAGGACAUUCCAUGUCCAUCUGGCAUCAAACCACCCUGCUACCUAUGCCAGUUGUUCUCAGGAUUUGUUUUAAUCAGGAAUGGUAAGACAUAAGGCACACAGACGUGGAAAUGAUUAUCAUGAAGGAAGAAGUUUGUGCUCAUAGAGCUCUAGAAGCAGGAGGUGUGGCACACGGGGCCACAUGGUUCGGAAGGAUAAGUGUUGGUCAGGAGGCAGGGAGAGGGGAGAGCAUGGCCCCAAGCCUUUAUUGGGGUUUUCAUAGGAAGGAAUGGUUAAGACAAGGUACAUAUGCUGGCUAAGUUUAGGGUUGGAUAGUUUGAAUAAUUUGGAUGGGUUCAGGGCCAUAGGGAUGGUCCCGAGUUGUCUGACCCUAGGGUGACUUAGGGCAGAGAGAAUAUUGGCUUGGUGUGUGAGAGUUUGGUUUUAAAAAGAAGAAGAUGGUUGGGAGUGUGGGCUCCAGAUUAGCUGGUUUGUACAUCAAAGGCACGCUCCCAGGAGAAUUGUUUGCCACCCCGCCCCCGACCCGUGUGUCUCUCUCUCUCUCUCUCUCUCUCUCUAGGAAUUUGCUAGCCCUGAAUGGGGUGACCUCUUUGGAUCAAGGACCCAAAUGUUAGCGCAUGAAGAAUACAGAAAAUAAGAACAUAUACUCAAUACAAGGUUAUGCUGCAGUAACAAACAAUCCCAAGGUUGUAGUGGCUUUUUACACAACUAAAGUUUCUUUGCCAAUGCUGCACAUUCACUGCAGGUUGGAGGAGGAGGGCGGGUAGUCUGCUCACUGUAAUCACUAAGGGCCCAGGAUGAUGGAAGCUUCAUCUCAACACAUGCCUCCACAAUCACCAAGGCAGGGAAAGGGACUAUGGCAAAUUGCACCUGUGAUCUUAAAGCUCCUGCCCAGAAGUAACAGUCAAAUCAUAUGGGCACACCUAACCAUGAAAGGGCAGAGAAGCUGAAUCCUACCAUGUGCCAGGAUGGAAGAGAAGUGGGAUAUUUGUGAUUAGUUCUGAUGACUACUGACACCUGUCAUUGGAACCAAAAGAUUCCUCUUUUGCUUAAGCAAAAGGAAGAAGAAUUGUUCAAAAGAAUUGUGGCCAGGUGCAGUGGCUUGCGCCUGCAAUCCUAGCACUUUGGGAGGCCAAGGCGGGCAGAUCACUUGAGGCCAAGCGUUUGAGACUGGCCUGGGCAAGAUGGUGAAACUCUGUCGCUACAUAAAAUACAAAUAUCAGCUGGGCAUGCUGGUGUAUGCCUGUAGUCCCAGCUAUUCAGGAGGCUGAGGUGGGAGGACUUCUUGAGCUUGACUGAGGUGGCAGUGAGCUGAGAUCGCACCACUGCUCUCCAGCCUAGGUGACAGAGUGAGACUCUGUCUCAAAAUAAAAAUAAAAAAGAAUUGUAAUAAUACAUGCCCCAACACCCC